rnacentral:rRNA from 1 species
CUCCUUUGACGUUAGCGGCGGACGGGUGAGUAACACGUGGGUAACCUACCUAUAAGACUGGGAUAACUUCGGGAAACCGGAGCUAAUACCGGAUAAUAUUUCGAACCGCAUGGUUCGAUAGUGAAAGGUGGUUUUGCUAUCACUUAUAGAUGGACCCGCGCGUAUUAGCUAGUUGGUAAGGUAACGGCUUACCAAGGCGACGAUACGUAGCCGACCUGAGAGGGUGAUCGGCCACACUGGAACUGAGACACGGUCCAGACUCCUACGGAGGCAGCAGUC